rnacentral:rRNA from 1 species
UACGGGGGGGGCAAGCGUUGUUCGGAAUUACUGGGCGUAAAGGGCUCGUAGGCGGCCAACUAAGUCAGACGUGAAAUCCCUCGGCUUAACCGGGGAACUGCGUCUGAUACUGGAUGGCUUGAGUGCGGCAGAGGGGGGGGUGGAAUUCCGCGUGUAGCAGUGAAAUGCGUAGAGAUGCGGAGGAACACCGAUGGCGAAGGCAGCCCCCUGGGUCGACACUGACGCUCAGGCACGAAAGCGUGGGGAGCAAACAGG